UCGCCUGUUUAACAAAAACAUGUCCUUUUGUUUAUAUAAAAGGUCGGGCCUGCCCAGUGAGUUUAUUUAACGGCCGCAGUAUUUUGACUGUGCAAAGGUAGCAUAAUCAUUAGUUUCUUAAUUAGAAGCUGGAAUGAAAGGUUUGAUGAGAAAAUAACUGUCUCAGUCUUAAUUUUUUUGAAUUUUAUUUUUAAGUAAAAAAGCUUAAAUUUGUUAGAAAGACGAGAAGACCCUAUAGAGUUUUAUAUUUUUAAUAAGAAUAUUUAUUAGGAUAGAUAAUUUUUUUUAUGACAGAGUAUUUGGUUGGGGUGAUUAAAAAAUUAGUUAAACUUUUUUUUGUUUUGAAUAUUUAUUUAUAGAUACUUGAUCCUUUAUUUAAGAUUAAAAGUUCAAAUUACCUUAGGGAUAACAGCGUUAUUUUUUCUGAGAGUUCAAANUGAAGAGAGAG
rnacentral:rRNA from 1 species